CAUACAUAAAAUAAUUACAAGCUGUCUUUUAAAGUUACAGCACAGAAUUUUGCAGUGUUUUAUGCAUAUUCUUUAUUUUCCAUGUAACGGGGAAGUUCCCCACCUCAUGUCAACUCCCGCUAUGAAUUUCAGGGCUGGAAUAACCUGUGAGCUUGGAACGCUACUGCUGUUACACAGGCAGCUCAUUCCUGUGCCUGAGGUCCAGCAGACAGCACUACAGAAAAGUGAAGAAACACUACAGCAGGGUUUUCUAAUCCGUUCUGGCACCUGAGGCAUUUGAACAGUUGGUGGGAAGAACUGAAACUGUGACGAAGGGAGCGCCUCAUUUCAGAUUUACAGUCCAAUUACUCACAAAAUCUGCCAAUUCAUUUUAUGGUAUGUACUGUGAAAAUUCGUUACUUAAUAUGAGCCUAAAAAAUCUAUUGGUGCGGUACAGUAGUUUGAUUUUGAAUUAGGAAAGAACUGGAAGCACAGUCCAUGGAAUCCUUAAGCUUGUAGCAAGGCUAGCCCAGCAUAUACUUAAAAUACACUUUGUGUGUUUCAGUCAAGCGUAACAUUUGUUCACCAACAAGUGGUUCUAUUUCAUUAUUUUUUCUAUGUGUUUUUAUAUAACUACUAUAUCUGUUCAGAUCUAUGUACACAUGUAUGUGUGCUCACAACAAAAAGAGAACAAAUACAGACAAGUCUUCGGUCAGAGACGGUUUCUAUUUCACAUAUUUUCAGCUCAAACUUAGUUAUUUCUGAACUUUUCAGAUAUGAGUUCUUAAAGUUCAGAACUAAAAUAUGUAACUACUUAAUGACAAUAACAACAACAACACACACAAAAAACACCACCACCACCACGCACACAGGCACACACACACAAAACCAGAUACCACAAACCGCCACAUUUUAAUCCAUAAUUCUCAGCUAAUGGAAAUCAUAACUAUUUAAAAAUUGUUAACUCGAAAUAUUUUUUCCCCACUUAAUAUACUGAAAAAAUCUAUAAGCUAGAUGACUUAGGGACAAAACUAUGCUACAUAGGGACCAUGGACCCAAUAAUCAUGGCUGUGCCACACGAUAUAGAUGCUAACUUGAAACUACUAACUCUUCAUGCUCCUUGCUGAUGUGGCUUGGUUAGUGUGUGCUCUGCAGAAGGCGGUUUCUCUG
rnacentral:lncRNA from 1 species